rnacentral:tRNA from 1 species
GUCGAUAUGUCCGAGUGGUUAAGGAGAUAGACUUGAAUUCUGUUUGGCUUUGCCCGCGCAGGUUUGAACCCUGCUGUCAACG